GAAAAAAAAAAAACUAAUUUUAUAUUUCAAUGGUCGAAAUUUGGAGGCCUUACCAGUGACGCUGCCCCAUCCGAUGGCCGUGACGUCACUCCAACUUCAAGAAGUCAGCAGCCAUCUCCAACGACGAGGCCAGCCGCUACAGCGACACUGGCCAACGAGCCAAAGCCAAUACCAUCGACAAUGCAUCCCGGGUGGCCGGACCAGCAGCCACUCGGAUGCAGCCAAUUCUUACGCUUCAUUGGCAUCACCGGGGUAGCCCCGGUAAUAGAACUCACUAGUGCGUAAUUUUCGAACUGAACCUAAAGGAAACCUACUUAAAUAGACCGUCGGGAACACGUCGAGUUGAAAUUUACAAAAUUGAAAUUUGAAUUUAAGAAGCGCGGCAUUGUCAGUGCUGUGCAAGAUUAAAUUAAAACAAUGCAGUACUGGAAAAGCUGGCGAUUUAUAUAUA